rnacentral:rRNA from 1 species
GAUGAACGCUGGCGGCGUGCCUGAGAUAUGCAAGUCGAAUGUCUUUCUUGCCGCAAGGCAGGAAGGUAAUGGCGGACGGCUGAGUAACACGUGGGAACCUGCCCCUUUCUGGAGUAUAGCUCAUCGAAAGAUGGGGUAACACUCCAUGAUCCCCUGAUUUUAUCGGGGGUAAAAAGCGUAACUUCUUGGAAAGGGAUGGACCUGCGUUCUAUCAGGUAGUUGGUAGGGUAACGGCCUACCAAGCCUAUGACGGAUAGCUGGCCUGAGAGGGUGGUCAGCCAGAGGGGCACUGAGACACGGGCCCCACUCCUACGGGAGGCAGCAAUCAGGAAUAGUCGGCAAUGGGCGAAAGCCUGACCGCGCGACGCCGCGUGCGGGAUGAAAUUCGUAAUGAAUGUAAACCGCUGUGGUUGGAGAAGAACGGCCAGCUUAGCUGGCUUUGACGGUAUCCAACUAGAAAGGGGCCGCUAACUGCGUGCCAGAAGCGUCGGUAAUACGUGGGCCCCAAGCGUUAUCCGGUUUUACUGGGCGUAAAAGGUCGUGUAGGCGGUCUGAUAAGUCUUAUCUUAAAGACUGUGGCCUAACCACAGGUAUGGAUGAGAUACUAUCAGACUGGAGUUUUCUCAAGGGAGACUGGAACUUAGGGAGGAGUAGUGAAAUGCGUUGAUACCCUAGGGAACACCAGUGGCGAAGGCGAGUCUCUGGGAGAAGACUGACGCUGAGACACGAAAGCUAGGGGAGCGAAGCAGAUUAGAGACCUGCGUAGUCCUAGCCCUAAACGAAUGCCUGCUAGCUGCAUCUUCGAUUUUAUCGGAGGUGUGGCGAAGGUAACCCGUUAAGCAGGCCGCCUGGGGAGUACGGCCGCAAGGUUG